rnacentral:rRNA from 1 species
UGGGGAAUAUUGCGCAAUGGGGGCAACCCUGACGCAGCCAUGCCGCGUGAAUGAAGAAGGCCUUCGGGUUGUAAAGUUCUUUCGGUAGCGAGGAAGGCAUUUAGUUUAAUAGACUAGGUGAUUGACGUUAACUACAGAAGAAGCACCGGCUAACUCCGUGCCAGCAGCCGCGGUAAUACGGAGGGUGCGAGCGUUAAUCGGAAUAACUGGGCGUAAAGGGCACGCAGGCGGUGACUUAAGUGAGGUGUGAAAGCACCGUGCUUAACAUGGGAAUUGCAGUUCAGACUGGGUCGCUAGAGUACUUCAGGGAGGGGUAGAAUUCUACGUGGAGCGGUGAAAUGAGUAGAGAUGUGGAGGAAUAACGCAGGCGACGACAGCACCUUGGGAAUGUACUGACGAUCAUGUGCGAAAGCGUGGGGAGCAAACAGG